AACUGUAAUGCUUUAAUUUGGAGUUAAAGUUGUUUAUAUUUAUUGCACGCUAUAAUCGGUAAACAGCAGUUAGAAGAUGUCACUUCCGCUAAAUGACUUCCUGUUGGUUGACUUCCGGUAUUUGUUCGAAAACUAGAGCUACAUUUUGUGGUCUUCUGUAGUACUUUCUGUUGCCAUCCUACACAAAGCGGCGAAGAAGCAAUGCCUUUUUCACCAUCUUGUCUAUGAAGGAAUUGUCAAAAGUAAAUGGUCAAGCUUACGACAUUCUCUUCAUUGACUCCGGUUCGGCUUGGUGUUGAGUUGGCGUUUUUUACACGUCUCACGAGAACACUGAAUAUAAAGAUAACAAAUACACAAAGUCAAUCCAACAAUGUGUACAUUUGUCAUGACAACGACUGUCACAUUUUCACCUUCAGGACGCUUCUUUCAUUCAGCAGGUGUCCUCAUCAAGACACACAUUGAUGUUCCACAGCGACCGAUGGGGGCAAAAGUGGCGCACUAACACUGCGUGAGAAGUUAGCGAGAGCAGCCAGAAGAAGAAGAGACUUUGCAGUGACCAAUCAAAUGAGCUCUGGGGAGCAGGGGGCGUGGUCAUCCCUGCGCUGCGCUAGUCUUUAAAAACUAAAACUUAUUUUUCUAAACUUAAAACUAGUCUUUCUGAACCAAAACUAAAACUAGUUUUUCUAAACUAAAACUAUUCUUUCUAAACUAAAACUAAAACUAGUCUUUCUAAACUAAAACUGGUCUUUCUAAACUAAAACUAGUCUUUCUAAACUAAAACUAGUCUUUCUGAACUAAAACUAGUCUUCUAAACUUAAACUAGUCUUUCUGAACUAAAAUUAAAACUAGUGUUUCUAAACUAAAACUAGUCUUUCUGAACUAAAAUUAAAACUAGUCUUUCUAAACUAAAAAUAGUCUUUCUGAAACAAAACUAAAACUAGUCUUUCUAAACUAAAACUAGUCUCUCUAAACUCAAACUAGUCUUUCUGAACGAAAACUAAAACAUUUGUUUUUCUAAACUAAAACUAGUCUUUCUAAACUAAAACUAAAACUAGUCUUUCUAAACUAAAACUAGUCUUUCUAAACUAAAACUAGUCUUUCUAAACUAAAAUUAGUCUUUCUAAACUAAAACUAAAAGUAGUCUUUCUAAACUAAAACAGAAACUAGUCUUUCUAAACAAAAACGAAAACUAGUUCUUCUAAACUAAAACUAGUCUUUCUAAAUGAAAACUAAAACUAGUCUUUCUAAACUAAAAGUAGUCUUUCUAUACUCAAACUAAAACUAGUCUUUCUAAACUAAAAGUAGUCUUUCUAAAUAAAACUAGUCUUUCUGAACUAAAACUAAAACUUGUCUUUCUAAACUAAAACUAGUCUUCUAAAAUAAAACAAAAACUAGUCUUUCUAAACAAAAACAAAAACUAGUCUUUCUAAACUAAAACUAGUCUUUCUAAAUUAAAACUAAAACUAGUCUUUCUAAACUAAAACCAAAACUAUUCUUUCUAUACUAAAACUAGUCUUUCACAAUUAAAACUAAAACUAGUCUUUCUAAACUAAAACCAAAACUAUUCUUUCUAAACUAAAACUGGUCUUUUUAAACCCGCCUCCUCUACGUUAUUUUUUUAAUGCAUUUUUAUGACUCAAUAGAUGUCGGGAAUUUGUUUUGUAAGCGCAUGCGCAAAUGGGUCGGGGGCCCUUUUUCUAUGGCGAGAUUGGGCAGACUGUGCGGUACCCGGAUGUGUCAACACCGUGCAGCGUUGCCAAAAAGAAGAGGACAUUUUCUCGCAGCAAACACGAACAGUGUUGCGUACACAUGACGUCACGCUGCUCAGGACUACCUUGCACAGAUUACACGCGUGGAGUGUCUUUUAUGAAGCACUUUUACCUUUCAAUCCAACUAAUCAGUGCCGGAGAAGAGGCGCCGUUGGAAGAACAGCGCCCCCACGUGGCGAUGAAAGCACAAACCUUUCAAAAUAAAAUUACUUUUAUUUCAUAAAUCUUAAUCUCCUGAAUGAACGCUUCCUUACCGUUUUUCUUUCUUUAAAAAAAACCACUUUGGCAGUACAGUACAAAGUAUUGGUGCAAUUUUGACUAACUUUUUCAUGUAAGUGAUGUUAAUUUCCCUUUUUCGUCUCACACAUAACUGUAGUGCAUUCAAGGACCCUCCGUUGAAGUAAGAAAUAGAGGCGUCAGCGGUUUUCAAAUAAAGAGGAUAUGGAGAUGCACUAAUAAUAUUACCUAAUGAUUAUGUGCAAUGAUUCGUAUGAUCCAGUGAUAAUUAUAUGUAAAUCAGAUCAUCUCUACACUGUGAAACUAAAGCAGAUUUGACCUCUUUAUAUCAUUUAAGAUCAUGUUUUGUUUACUAUCUUAUAGACAAAAUUAUUUCAGAGGAUGAAUCUAGAUAUGUUCAUGUCAUUUUUCAAAAAGUGGGAAACCUAAUGAGGGUUUUUAAAAGUGUUUUAAAAGAUGUUCUCUUCAUGCCAUGGUUCAUUUGAGCGCGUGUAAAGAUGUCAAGUGUGAGGGGAUGUGGCGCCAAAGUUUGGCUACAUGGGGAGCACUUGGUAUACUCCAGAAAUACAUUCUUGCCAACUAAAUAGGCCAGUAAAGAUGACAAUAUCACACAAGUUGACCUCUUUAUUAAUGACACGUGCUGGCCGGACUAUUUGCAACAUAUUGUUGCGUGUCAGAUUAUUGCCACUAUUUGUCAAUAAAGUUGUGAUGGAGGCUGAAGUGAACAUUUGAGGCGGUCAACAUGAAAAGUGGUUUAGAAGUAGGGCGUGGGGUCGCUCUUAUCGCACAUCUGCACGUGCACGUGCGAGGUGAUCCCUGGGUAGACGCUCUGCAUGGGCAUCAUGACGCCGA